GGCCUGCUAGCUCAGUCGGUUAUAGCGUCGUGCUAAUAACGCGAAGGUCGUAGGUUCGAUCCCUGCGCAGGCCA
rnacentral:tRNA from 1 species